rnacentral:rRNA from 1 species
GUCAGAGGUGAAAUUCUUGGAUUUAUGGAAGACGACCGGAUGCGAAAGCGUUUGGCAAGGAUAUACCCAUUGAUCAAGGACGAAAGUUAGGGGAUCGAAGACGAUUAGAUACCGUCGUAGUCUUAACCAUAAACGUUGCCAUCUAAAAGAUGGUGUCAUCCUUUUUUUCCGGGAAACCAAAGAUUUUGGGUUCUGGGGGGAGUAUGGUCGCAAGUCUGAAACUUAAAGGAAUUGACGGAAGGGCACCACCAGGAGUGGAGCCUGCCGCUUAAUUUGACUCAACACGGGGCAACUUACCAGGUCCGGACAUUUUUAUGAUUGACAGAUUGAUAGCUCUUUCAUGAUUGAAUGGGUGGUGGUGCAUGGCCGUUCUUAGUUGGUGGAGUGAUUUGUCUGGUUGAUUCCGUUAACGAACGAGACCUUUUCCUGCUAACUAGUAUACUUCUUAGAGGUACUAUUCGUUUUUCACGGAUGGAAGCUUUAGGCAAUAACAGGUCUGUGAUGCCCUUUGAUGUCCUGGGCUGCACGCGGGCUACACUGAUGCAGUCAAAGAGUGCUGAAAGGAAUCUAGGUAAUCUUUAAACUUGCAUCGUGCUUGGGAUUGAAUACUGUAACUGUAUUUAUGAACGAGGAAUUCCUUGUAGACGCGAGUCAUCAACUUGCGUUGAUUACGUCCCUGCCCUU